AGGCCUCCUCGAAGGGGAAACAACCCAAGAAGAUGAAGAUAGCUCUUGCUAAGCCUACACCUCCUAAAUAGUAUGUGAUCAGGAGUCAACAUUUUUUCAGUUUGUUUACUAACUCUUAACCACAUGUUCAUUCUUGCAGGGUUCCAUACUUGCUGACCACUGGGAGCAUGGCCAAACACUAAGUGGUAGAUGGCCCAAGGCCAAUGACCAGGAGUCAGGCUACCUCAUAGCUGACAUCUAGUCUAUGUGCUUGCACUAGGAUCAAGAGGGCCCUACAGGACCUAUAGGCACUGCAAGAAACACAACAAGAGA
rnacentral:lncRNA from 1 species